rnacentral:tRNA from 1 species
GGGGAUGUAGCUCUGUGGCAGAGCAUAUGCCUAGUGUACAUGAGACCCUGGGUUCCAUCCCCAGCACCA